UGGGGAAUUUUGGACAAUGGGCGCAAGCCUGAUCCAGCAAUGCCGCGUGCAGGAUGAAGGCCUUCGGGUUGUAAACUGCUUUUGUACGGAACGAAAAGCCUCUCUCUAAUACAGGGGGGUGAUGACGGUACCGUAAGAAUAAGCACCGGCUAACUACGUGCCAGCAGCCGCGGUAAUACGUAGGGUGCAAGCGUUAAUCGGAAUUACUGGGCGUAAAGCGUGCGCAGGCGGCUUUGUAAGACAGUGGUGAAAUCCCGGGCUCAACCUGGGAACUGCCAUUGUGACUGCAAGGCUGGAGUGCGGCAGAGGGGGAUGGAAUUCCGCGUGUAGCAGUGAAAUGCGUAGAUAUGCGGAGGAACACCGAUGGCGAAGGCAAUCCCCUGGGCCUGCACUGACGCUCGUGCACGAAAGCGUGGGGAGCAAACNGGAUUAGAUACCCUGGUAGUCCACGCCCUAAACGAUGUCAACUGGUUGUUGGGGA
rnacentral:rRNA from 1 species